rnacentral:rRNA from 1 species
AUGGCACCCCGCGAGUCGGAGCCUGCGGCUAUGUUUCCUCCGCGAGCCAAAAACUGGACAUGCCCGGAGACCCCGCGGAUUGCGCCACUGAGAGCAAUCUCGGGCUGCUUCGGGUGGUGGUGCUCGGGUUGCCCCACAUAGGGGAAACCGUCUCCUGGUCAAGUCCCAAGCGGCAAGACAGGUCGGCCAGUGUUUCACCGUCUGGAUCAAUGUCCUGAAACAAGAGCGUGACAGGACGCUCGACGCCGCGUUCCGAAAGAUUGAUAACGGGGCGGCGAGGCACGGCUUGAUAUGUUCCGGGCUUCACUGGCUCUACACUGGUGCGCUCAUGUCGGCUCUCAGGUGGGGAAGGAAGGGAUAGGUAACGGGUUGAAACUCCUUCGUGAUUGGGAUAGGGAAUUGCAAUUAUUUCCCUUGAACGAGGAAUUCCCAGUAAGUGCGGGUCAUCAGCUCGCGCUGAUUACGUCCCUGCCCUUUGUACACACCGCCCGUCGCUACUACCGAUUGGAAGUAGACGAG